AGAGUUUGAUCAUGGCUCAGAUUGAACGCUGGCGGCAUGCCUUACACAUGCAAGUCGAACGGCAGCGGGCCUUCGGGUGCCGGCGAGUGGCGAACGGGUGAGUAGUGCAUCGGAACGUGCCAUUGAGUGGGGAUAACGUAGCGAAAGUUACGCUAAUACCGCAUAUUCUGUGAGCAGGAAAGCAGGGGGACCGCAAGGCCUUGCGCUCUUUGAGCGGCCGAUGUCAGAUUAGCUAGUUGGUGAGGUAAAGGCUUACCAAGGCGACGAUCUGUAGCGGGUCUGAGAGGAUGAUCCGCCACACUGGAACUGAGACACGGCCCAGACUCCUACGGGAGGCAGCAGUUAGGAAUAUUGGACAAUGGACGCAAGUCUGAUCCAGCCAUGCCGCGUGAGCGAUGAAGGCCUUCGGGUUGUAAAGCUCUUUAGCCGAUGAUUAUAAUGACUGUAGUCGGAAAAUAAGCCCCGGCUAACUUCGUG
rnacentral:rRNA from 1 species